rnacentral:rRNA from 1 species
UACGGAGGGUGCGAGCGUUGUCCGGAAUCAUUGGGCGUAAAGCGCGCGUAGGUGGUCCUGUAAGUCCGCUGUGAAAGUCAAAGGCUCAACCUUUGAAAGCCGGUGGAUACUGUGGGACUAGAGUACGGAAGAGGCGAGUGGAAUUCCUGGUGUAGCGGUGGAAUGCGCAGAUAUCAGGAGGAACACCAAUAGCGAAGGCAGCUCGCUGGGACGGUACUGACGCUGAGGCGCGAAAGCGUGGGGAGCGAACAGG